CUUGUUUUCUUGUAGUGCCUGCAAGCUUGAACGAUGUUUGAGGUGAUUAAUCAGUCUGUAGAUACAGUGCAAUUUGCUGUAAUUGCGCACAUCUGUUCUCCAGGACUGUUGCUGUGGAGUUUAAAUGCAGAGAAAAGCCAUCAAUCAUCACAUAUCAGGGGUUCUUCUUGGUGGCAGUGGAAAUUCGGGCUAUAACAUCAAGUACUGUUUUCUUGUCCAUUUCAAUGCUGUCUAAGCGCUCUGAAGAGCUGGAGUCUUGAUGUGGAGAGAGUCGGAUGGCAGGACCGAAGCCAGUGUGGUUUCUGCGGCAGACCUACUCUGACAGGCUUUUCAAAGUUUUUAAUAAUUCUUGUGCCGUCCAUGAUGGUGAAAUUGUGGCGGGCCUUCUCUCCUCAACUGUUGCCUGCCAUGACUGUGAGGUUCAUUCCAUCCUGAUUAUAAUUGCUUUCAUCUUGUAUCGUGACUGUUUUCAAUUCUUCAGGGCCCUGUCAACUCAGCAAGGUUCACAGAGGUUGCUGUGGUUUAGCUGACAAAAGGACUGAAGAGGAACAGGAAGACAGUUUUUGCCUUGCAGUACCUUGGAAAGAAUCAGUCUGAAGAAACAUAUGUUAGGUGAUGAAAUGGGAGUCUCUCCAGUUUGAGAAGGUGACCUUUUAAAGUGCAUUUUGAACUAUUGUAAAACAUUCUCUGAGAUGAACAAUGCGCUAAUAAAUUGCAUUAUGCCAUCUCAAGCAAAAUAUUUAAUGCAUUUUACAUAUCCACCUUUCAAAUAUCAGUUGUUUAAUUCAUAACAUGGGUAGAUAUUUUAAUAUUAUUUAUAAUUAUAUUUAACAAUGAUGGUGUUAUUUAUUUAAUUUUUUUUUCUUAAAUUUUUUUAUAUUUCCGAAAUAAUUUAAGAUAAAAAAUAUGAUGGUAACAGGGUUGAUGUUCUAGGAUUGUCUUACCAACAAACUAAAAGCUAUAAGAUGGUAUUAUGGCGUCAUUAUGGUAAGUUUUUCAGUUUAAAGAACAGAUAAAAAUGUCAUGGUAAAAGGGUUGAUGUUUUCAUUUUGUCUUAAAGACAAACUUAAAAACUUCUAAAGAGUUCACUUAUUAUUAUUAUUAUUAUUAUUAUUAUUAUUAUUAUUAUUAUUAUUAUUGUUUAAUAUUGUCUUACCAACAACAAACUUACCAAAAUAAAAAAUACAGGAUGAAGAUACUUUCUUGAAUUCCCUUCUUGAUGUUGUUUUCACCAUCAAGGGUUGACAUAACCUAGUAACACACAACUUCAAGUCUUUAAAUCUAUUAAGUGUCUUCAAGUUUAAUAAUACAUUGUCAAAUAUAGAGAGUAAAUAGGGACAAAAUGUAUUUUGUUUUCUUGAACAAAAAAUGUGAAUAUUAUCUAAACACAGGGGUGAGAACAGGCCAAAAAUAUUUCAAAAUAAAAAUAAGAGAAAUCAACAAAAAUUUACAUUUUGCCUAGAUUUAUUUAAGGGACAUACACACUCUCAGUACCUAUUCUGUAACUCAAAUUUCUUGAUGGAUAUGUCUUCAGUAGCAACAUGAAGGAUUCUGUUGGAGAGAUUUGCUUUGGGUCCUUGUAGUCUUACAAUAUAUUCUAUGUUGUCCCAGAUUUUCUCCAUCUCUGUACAUGCUGUUCCUGAGAGACGUGUCAUGUUGAAGAUUUGCUUACUGAGUUUGAUGUCUUGUGAUAGGAUCUGGUCUGUUCAUUACAACAGUCCCUCAUGAGACGGACAGGACGAGUGAAAAACAUCUCCCUUCACAAACGCAUGUGUAGUUACGCACCAACUUUGGUGUGCUUCAUGAAAACCUAUAGAUCACAACAUUUGGACAAAGAAAAGAAUAAACAUGGCUACGCUGGAAUGGCUGUAAAUGGGAAAACAUGCUUUUUAGGUCCAAAUGAUGUGGUUAAAACCUUAAUCUGUUGUCUGGAACUGCAUCUAAUAUAGUGGUAAAGCGACAUGGAGUCUAUCAUAAUUUGUUCCAUUGAUUCAUGCUUAUGGUGGCAUGAAGACAGUCAAGUUGGCCAAAUGUGUCAGCUCUUCCUGAGAGAGUCGCCAUUAAUCUGGUGCACAGACAGAUGUCAGUGAAGCACCAGGAUCAUUUGAAAUCAAAGAUGACAUUCAUAGCAACACUGAAACAAAGGCGCUUUAAUGUUAAGGGACUUUACCCUUCACUUUCAAUUGAGUAAUUCUCUCGCUGUACGUUUGGAUGAAGGGCUGAUGGAGGGUUAAAUGAAUCAGAUUGGCCAGUAUACAUCAACAAACCAUUUUCCCUUCACACCUCAGUGCUACUGGCCUCAUAAAUUGAGACUUUGAAUUCUCCACACAUGGCUUUUUGCUUGCCAGUAGUCAAUAUGACUAUGACAUGUCUGAAAUGAGAUCCUUCAUUGAACAGUUUGAGAGUCCAUGCGUCCUGCCAAACUCAAAGCUUGAUGGUCUGAUCCCCUCACGCUCUCACUUAGUUUUCUUUGUUGUUGUUGUUGUUUUUGUUUUGUUUUGUUUUUUGACUGGAGAGUGGUGACAAGGUUCGCAUAUGCUCUCUAAUGGGAUAUGAACAUCGCAUUACUCUCCAGUGCAAUACUUGCACGUUGC
ensembl:lncRNA